rnacentral:tRNA from 1 species
UCACUGGUGUCUUAGCAGUAAAGAAUCUGCCUGCAGUGCAGGAAACCCUGGGUUCAAUCCCUGGGUUGGGAA